CAGGGAAUAGUUUAAAAAGAAUUUCAGCUUUGGGUGCUGAUGGUGGGGCGGUGCCUCUUCCUUGA
rnacentral:tRNA from 1 species